rnacentral:rRNA from 1 species
UACGUAGGGUGCGAGCGUUGUCCGGAAUUAUUGGGCGUACAGGGCGCGUAGGUGGCGCGACAAGUCAGUGGUGAAAGUUCGACGCUCAACGUCGAAUCGGCCACUGAUACUGUUGGGCUUGAGCACUGUAGAGGCUAAUGGAAUUCCGGGUGUAGCGGUGGAAUGCGUAGAGAUCCGGAAGAACACCGGUGGCGAAGGCGGUUAGCUGGGCAGUUGCUGACACUGAGGCGCGACAGCGUGGGGAGCAAACAGGG